AGUUCGAUCAUGGCUCAGAUUGAACGCUGGCGGGAUGCUUUACACAUGCAAGUCGAACGGCAGCACGGACUUCGGUCUGCGGCGAGAGUGGCGAACGGGUGAGUAAUGUAUCGGAACGUGCCUGAGAUGUAGAUGAACUGAUGAAAGCGUAGCUAAUACCGUAUGGCCGGCCCUUCGGGGGAAAGCGGGGGACCUUCGGCCUCGCACUAUUAGAGCGGCCGAUAUCGGAUUAGCUAGUUGCGGGGUAACGGCUCACCAAGGCGAUGAUCCGUAGCCGGUUUGAGAGGACGCACCAGCCACACCGGACUGGAGACACGGCCCAGACUCUACGAGGCAGCAGUGGGGAAUUUUGGACAAUGGGGGAAAACUCCUGAUCCGUUUGGUCCGCGUGCGAUGAAGGCCUUCGGGCGUCAGGAAGCACUUUUGGUAGGAAAGAAACGGCACGGGAUAAUAAUUGUGCAACUGACGGCUCCGCAGAAUAAGCACCGGCUAACUACGUGCCAGCAGCCGCGGUAAUACGUAGGGUGCAAGCGUUAAUCGGAAUUACUGGGCGCAAGCGCAGGCAGGCGGUCGGAAAGAAAGAUGAAAUCCCAGAGCUAACUGGAACCAUUUUAAUUACCGAGCUAGAGGCCGAGGACAGGAAUUCCGCGUAGCAGUGAAAUGCGUAGAUAUGCGGAGGAACACCGACACAACAGCCUCCUGAUAACACUGACGCUCGGCGCACGAAAGCGUGGGGAGCAAACAUCAGAUACUCCCGGUAGUCCACGCCCUAAACGAUGUCAACUAGCUGCCGGGGCUUCCUCUUCGGGCCUGGUAGCGCAGCUAACGCGUGAAGUUGGAUCGCCUGGGGAGUACGGUCGCAAGAUUAAAACCUGAAAAGGAAUUGGAUGGGACCGCACAAGCGGUGGAUGAUGUGGAUUAAUCUGAUGCAACGCGAAAACCCUACCUACCCUGACAUGGUCGGAACUUUGAAGAGAUUUGUGAGUGCUCGCAAGAGAACCGGAACACAGUGCUGAUGGCUGUCGUCAGCUCGUCAGAGAUGUUGUUUAAGUCCUGCAACGAGCAACCCUUGGUCAUUGGUUACAUGAAGGGCACUCUAAUGAGACUGCUGGUGACAAACCGAGGAAGGUGAGAAUGACGUCAAGUCCUCAUGGCCCUUGCGGGGUAGGGUCACACGUCGCGACAAUGGUCGGGACAGGGGGUCGCCAACCGUGAGGGAGCCAAUCCCAGAAACCCGGGAUCGCAGUCCGAUCGCAGUCUGCAACUCGACUGCGUGAAGUCGGAAUCGCUAGUAAUCGCGGAUCAGCAUGUCGCGGUGAAUACGCUCCCGGGUCUUGUACACACCGCCCGUCACACCAUGGGAGUGGGUUUUACCAGAAGUAGUUAGCCUAACCGUAAGGAGGGCGAUUACCACGGUAGGAUCUGCGACUGGGGGUGAAGUCGUAACAAGGUAG
rnacentral:rRNA from 1 species